rnacentral:rRNA from 1 species
AGAAUCAACGCUGGCGGCGUGCCUAACACAUGCAAGUCGCACGAGAAAGCGGGAGCAAUCCUGUGAGUAAAGUGGCGUACGGGUGAGUAACACGUGAAUCAUCUACCUUCGAGUGCGGAAUAACUGAGAGAAAUCUUAGCUAAUACCGCAUAAUACCCACGGGUCAAAGCAGCAAUGCGCUUGAAGAGGAGUUCGCGGCAGAUUAGUUAGUUGGCGGGGUAAUGGCCCACCAAGACGAUGAUCUGUAUCCGGCCUGAGAGGGCGCACGGACACACUGGAACUGAAACACGGUCCAGACUCCUACGGGAGGCAGCAGUGGGGAAUUUUGCGCAAUGGGGAAACCCUGACGCAGCAACGCCGCGUGGAGGAUGAAAUCCCUUGGGAUGUAAACUCCUUUCGAUAGGGAAGAUAAUGACGGUACCUGUAGAAGAAGCCCGGCUAACUUCGUGCCAGCAGCCGCGGUAA